AUGCUCGGACACGCGGGGAUACGUGUAUCCCGCCGUAUUUCCCGAAUUAAGAAUAAAAAAAAGAAAAAGAAAAGGCAGGACAUGGCUGGGACACGUAGGGGACACGAGGCAGCACUGGAUCUGGAGCACCCUCCCGCCGCCGCGCUGCUGCUGCGCCCCCGCCACCGUGCAGCUGCUGCUGCAUCCCCCGCUGCAGCGCUGGCCGUCGCUGCUGCUGCUGUUGCUGCUGUAGCGGCAAGAGGAGCACGCUGGGAGGAGGGCGGUGGCGAGAGCUGCUGCGGGGGAGAUGAGAGAUCCAUCGCUGGGACGAGGGGCGAUGGCAAGAGAGUGGCAGCUUGGUCAAAGCGUUAA
rnacentral:rRNA from 1 species